AGAGUUUGAUCCUGGCUCAGGAUGAACGCUAGCGGCAGGCUUAACACAUGCAAGUCGAGGGGUAUAGGUUUUCGGACCUAGAGACCGGCGCACGGGUGCGUAACGCGUAUGCAAUCUACCUUUUACAGAGGGAUAGCCCAGAGAAAUUUGGAUUAAUACCUCAUAGUAUUAUUGAAUGGCAUCAUUUAAUAAUUAAAGUUCCAACGGUAAAAGAUGAGCAUGCGUCCCAUUAGCUAGAUGGUAAGGUAACGGCUUACCAUGGCAACGAUGGGUAGGGGUCCUGAGAGGGAGAUCCCCCACACUGGUACUGAGACACGGACCAGACUCCUACGGGAGGCAGCAGUGAGGAAUAUUGGUCAAUGGGCGCAAGCCUGAACCAGCCAUGCCGCGUGCAGGAUGACGGUCCUAUGGAUUGUAAACUGCUUUUGUACAGGAAGAAACAGUUCUACGUGUAGAACCUUGACGGUACUGUAAGAAUAAGGAUCGGCUAACUCCGUGCCAGCAGCCGCGGUAAUACGGAGGAUCCAAGCGUUAUCCGGAAUCAUUGGGUUUAAAGGGUCCGUAGGCGGUUUUGUAAGUCAGUGGUGAAAGCCCAUCGCUCAACGGUGGAACGGCCAUUGAUACUGCAAGACUUGAAUUACUAGGAAGUAACUAGAAUAUGUAGUGUAGCGGUGAAAUGCUUAGAUAUUACAUGGAAUACCAAUUGCGAAGGCAGGUUACUACUAGUGGAUUGACGCUGAUGGACGAAAGCGUGGGGAGCGAACAGGAUUAGAUACCCUAGUAGUCC
rnacentral:rRNA from 1 species